UAAAAUUUUAAAAGUAUACUCUAGCCAUGGACAAUAGCCAGUAAAAAUGCCCAUAAUCUGUUGAAGGAAAACCUCAUUUGAGACACACCAAACAAGUCAGUGUCAGUGGAAGAAGAACAGAAAAUGUGUGUGGUAGGUGAGGAGGAAGAUGGUGAAAGGGCUUUGAAUGUAAAAUAGAGAAUUUUAUAUUUGAUCAUGGAUGUGAUAAGAAAACACCAGAAUUUAUUGAAUGUAUAUGGGGUGAGAUCAAAUCUGUUCUUUAAUUACUUUGACAGGAUAAAGGAUGGAUUUUUGAGUUGAGGCAGGGAGACCAAACAGUGUCAAGAGACCAGAUGUGAGGCAAGGAAGGUGCAUGAGAGAAAAAUCAUUUAAAUGUCUGCUAUACCCUAAGAGCUUUAAAAGUAUCUCAUUUGACUCCCACAUCAGCCCUUUGAAGUAGGUACUAUUGUGAUCAUGAAAUUAUUAUGUCUGAGGUUAGAUUUAUCUUAGGUCUUCAUUAUAAAAGACCCAGUCCUCAUCCGAUUGCCUAGAAUCUAAACCCUCCAUUAUGUAGGCUUGUGCUAUGAUGGUGAUGAUGUCAUAAGAGAGAAUGGAACACACAUAAGAGAUAUUAUGAAGGUAAAACUGACAGAAUUUGGCAGUUUUGAUAUAUCAUGUGGGAGAGAGUGAAGAGUCAAAGAAGACACCUAGGUUUUGAGCCCGGGUGCCUGGGAAAUUAGUGAUGGCCUCAAUAACAAUAGGAAUUAUUGGAAAGGGAGAGUGUUUGAGUUCAGUUUGGUGCAAUUUGAGUUAAAAAUGUCUACAGGACAUCCAGUUUGACAUGUCUAAUAUGAAGUUUGAGAUGAGAGUCUGAAGAUUAGGAAAGAGGCUUGAUGAGUUAAAAAUAUGAGAGCCGAAGAGAUCACCAAGUGAAAAAGUAUAAAGGGAAAAGAGCAAAGACAGGGCCCUGUGGGAUGGUCAUCUCUAGUAGGUCACCACACACCAAGGUGUGACUUGGAUGAAAAGGGAGAAGAAAGAGAGUGAAGAAAUGGUCAGACAGUUUCAUUGUUGCGAUAUAACCAGUGCCUACUAAUCCUUAGACAUCUUGGUGAGAAACAACUUCUUCCCUUCUUCCUACCUGAUGCAGUGAUGACUGCUGCACCAAUAUGACAGCAAGAAUCUGUUGGUCACCCAAGUAAACCUGAAAUGGACUUUAUCCCUUUCCCUUAAUCCAAGUCACUGAAGGUGAUCUUGGAAAAAGGACUUUCCAACCCUGUUGGUAAUCUCGUAAAGAGUUCACCAGUUCCAGAAUUAAGAAACAUGUUGCCCAGAAGAUCAGAAAAGACAAUCACUUCCAGGAUGAUUCAGGUAAAAGGACUUAGAAAACUCAAGCCAUUACCUAGCUUCCUAGGAUACUUAGAUUUAUGGGAUGCAGAGAAUAAAGGACAAAGGUAAAAAUGAAA